UCACGUCCUUGAUAUGUGACCCUGGACAGGUCAGUACACUUGCUGGGCCUCAGAUGUCCCACAGGUACCUACCUCACAGAUCAGGAGGUUAAAUGAGAUAGAUGAUACCCGAUGGUGCUUAACGCAGUUGGCACAAACCCAGAAAUGCAACCCACUAAGUCUGACCGGGGACAGAAAGACCACAGGAAAAAUGUUUGCACUUGAAGGAAAGAGAAUCAUCUCUGUAAUAUAGACUCUGAUUGUCAAAGAAAGAAAAAGAAUCAUCCUGAGUCAGUAAGGAUCAAUUCAUUACCCACAAAUCCUCCCCAAGCGCUCUUUACCAGCCUUGCAGAUAAUGUACUUACACAUCUCAGAGCCUGCUAAAUAGACUGAAGAGGCCAUCGGGUUCACCCUCCACACUGCGGCUGCCAGGACCGCGCAGACCCAACGCGCGGCCUCUGCCAAGGGCCCGCGGAUGGAGACAUCAAGGAAAGGCCAUGUGAGAAGACAACUCUGUGCAAACCAAGAAGAGAGCUCUUGCCAGAAACUGACCAUGUUAGCACCUUGAUUGUGGACUUCUAGCUUCCAGAAGCAUGAGAAAAUUAGUUUCUGUCAUUUAAGUUAUCCAGUCUAUGAUAUUUUAUUAUUACAACCCAAGUAAACUGAUGUACAUGCUCCUAGCACUGUACUGGACAUGAAGUAAUCAAAGAUAAAUAAGACCAAUGACUGCCCUCAAAAGCUCAGGGAUAUGUAGGAAAGAUUGACCAAUAGACAAACAAUGGCCAAAGUAAAUAUUCUGGUGGAUAACAGGAUCACCUGCUUGAAAUCAUCCUGAUUUAUUUUGUUAAGUGAACAACAAUUUUAUCUGCUCUUCAACACUUUUGAGUAUGAUUGAAGGAUUCGAUGUUGGAGCUAUUAAUACUAUUUACCAAUACUUCAGUU